rnacentral:rRNA from 1 species
AGAGUUUGAUCAUGGCUCAGAUUGAACGCUGGCGGCAGGCCUAACACAUGCAAGUCGAGCGGUAGCACAGAGAGCUUGCUCUCGGGUGACGAGCGGCGGACGGGUGAGUAAUGUCUGGGAAACUGCCUGAUGGAGGGGGAUAACUACUGGAAACGGUAGCUAAUACCGCAUAACGUCGCAAGACCAAAGUGGGGGACCUUCGGGCCUCAUGCCAUCAGAUGUGCCCAGAUGGGAUUAGCUAGUAGGUGGGGUAACGGCUCACCUAGGCGACGAUCCCUAGCUGGUCUGAGAGGAUGACCAGCCACACUGGAACUGAGACACGGUCCAGACUCCUACGGGAGGCAGCAGUGGGGAAUAUUGCACAAUGGGCGCAAGCCUGAUGCAGCCAUGCCGCGUGUGUGAAGAAGGCCUUCGGGUUGUAAAGCACUUUCAGCGGGGAGGAAGGCGNNNNNNNNNNNNNNNNNNNNNNNNNNCGAUUGACGUUACCCGCAGAAGAAGCACCGGCUAACUCCGUGCCAGCAGCCGCGGUAAUACGGAGGGUGCAAGCGUUAAUCGGAAUUACUGGGCGUAAAGCGCACGCAGGCGGUCUGUCAAGUCGGAUGUGAAAUCCCCGGGCUCAACCUGGGAACUGCAUUCGAAACUGGCAGGCUAGAGUCUUGUAGAGGGGGGUAGAAUUCCAGGUGUAGCGGUGAAAUGCGUAGAGAUCUGGAGGAAUACCGGUGGCGAAGGCGGCCCCCUGGACAAAGACUGACGCUCAGGUGCGAAAGCGUGGGGAGCAAACAGGAUUAGAUACCCUGGUAGUCCACGCCGUAAACGAUGUCGAUUUGGAGGUUGUGCCCUUGAGGCGUGGCUUCCGGAGCUAACGCGUUAAAUCGACCGCCUGGGGAGUACGGCCGCAAGGUUAAAACUCAAAUGAAUUGACGGGGGCCCGCACAAGCGGUGGAGCAUGUGGUUUAAUUCGAUGCAACGCGAAGAACCUUACCUGGUCUUGACAUCCACAGAACUUUCCAGAGAUGGAUUGGUGCCUUCGGGAACUGUGAGACAGGUGCUGCAUGGCUGUCGUCAGCUCGUGUUGUGAAAUGUUGGGUUAAGUCCCGCAACGAGCGCAACCCUUAUCCUUUGUUGCCAGCGGUUAGGCCGGGAACUCAAAGGAGACUGCCAGUGAUAAACUGGAGGAAGGUGGGGAUGACGUCAAGUCAUCAUGGCCCUUACGACCAGGGCUACACACGUGCUACAAUGGCAUAUACAAAGAGAAGCGACCUCGCGAGAGCAAGCGGACCUCAUAAAGUAUGUCGUAGUCCGGAUUGGAGUCUGCAACUCGACUCCAUGAAGUCGGAAUCGCUAGUAAUCGUAGAUCAGAAUGCUACGGUGAAUACGUUCCCGGGCCUUGUACACACCGCCCGUCACACCAUGGGAGUGGGUUGCAAAAGAAGUAGGUAGCUUAACCUUCGGGAGGGCGCUUACCACUUUGUGAUUCAUGACUGGGGUGAAGUCGUAACAAGGUAACCGUAGGGGAACCUGCGGUUGGAUCACCU